AGAGUUUGAUCAUGGCUCAGAACGAACGCUGGCGGCAGGCCUAAUACAUGCAAGUCGAACGCCGUAGCAAUACGGAGUGGCAGACGGGUGAGUAACACGUGGGAACGUGCCCAAAGGUACGGAACAACUCCGGGAAACUGGAGCUAAUACCGUAUGUGCCCGAGAGGGGAAAGAUUUAUCGCCUUUGGAUCGGCCCGCGUCUGAUUAGCUAGUUGGCGGGGUAAUGGCCCACCAAGGCGACGAUCAGUAGCUGGUCUGAGAGGAUGACCAGCCACACUGGGACUGAGACACGGCCCAGACUCCUACGGGGGGCAGCAGUAGGGAAUAUUGGACAAUGGGCGAAAGCCUGAUCCAGCCAUGCCGCGUGAGUGAUGAAGGCCUUAGGGUUGUAAAGCUCUUUCGCCAGGGACGAUAAUGACGGUACCUGGAUAAGAAGCCCCGGCUAACUUCGUGCCAGCAGCCGCGGUAAUACGAAGGGGGCUAGCGUUGUUCGGAAUUACUGGGCGUAAAGCGUAUGCAGGCGGAUCGCUAAGUCAGGGGUGAAAUCCCGAGGCUCAACCUCGGAACUGCCUUUGAUACUGACGAUCUUGAGUCCGGGAGAGGUGAGUGGAACUGCGAGUGUAGAGGUGAAAUUCGUAGAUAUUCGCAAGAACACCAGUGGCGAAGGCGGCUCACUGGCCCGGUACUGACGCUGAGAUACGAAAGCGUGGGGAGCAAACAGGAUUAGAUACCCUAGUAGUCC
rnacentral:rRNA from 1 species